rnacentral:rRNA from 1 species
AUCCGCUUCGGGGACCGUGCAUGGUAGGCAGUUUGACUGGGGCGGUCUCCUCCUAAAGGGUAACGGAGGAGUGCGAAGGUACGCUAGGCACGGUCGGAAAUCGUGCUGAUAGUGCAAUGGCAAAAGCGUGCUUGACUGCGAGUCCGACAAGACGAGCAGAUACGAAAGUAGGUCAUAGUGAUCCGGUGGCUCUGCAUGGAAGGGCCAUCGCUCAACGGAUAAAAGGUACUCUGGGGAUAACAGGCUGAUACCGCCCAAGAGUUCAUAUCGACGGCGGUGUUUGGCACCUCGAUGUCGGCUCAUCUCAUCCUGGGGCUGUAGCCGGUCCCAAGGGUAUGGCUGUUCGCCAUUUAAAGAGGUACGUGAGCUGGGUUUAAAACGUCGUGAGACAGUUUUGUCCCUAUCUGCCGUGGGCGCUGGAAGAUUGACGGGGGCUGUUCCUAGUACGAGAGGACCGGAAUGGACUCACCUCUGGUGUACCGGUUGUCACGCCAGUGGCACCGCCGGGUAGCUAUGUGGGGAAAGGAUAACCGCUGAAAGCAUCUAAGCGGGAAACCUGCCUGAAGAUAAGUCUUCCUGGAGGCUUGACCUCCCUGAAGAGUCGUUCGAGACCAGGACGUUGAUAGGUCGGGUGUGCAAGCGCUGUGAGGCGUUGAGCUGACCGAUACUAAUUGCUCGUGAAGCUUGAUCCUAUAACCGUGAAGCUUUUCA